CCUGUCGGUGUAACUGGCAUGUCGCGGCAUGUCCUGUCGGUGGUGAACGGGAUCCCCGGUGCUGUUAAGACCGCCAGGUCGAAGCAUGUACCGUGUGUGUUUCCGUUUGCCGAUCUCUCCUACUCCGGUGCUCUUAAACGAGUGUCGAGGUAGGCCGACACGUUCACUUUGAACAAAUUAGAGUGCUUAAAGCAGGCUGAAAUAUCUGCCUGAAUAGUGGUGCAUGGAAUGAUAAAACAGGACCUCGGUUCUAUUUUGUUGGUUUUAGGAAUAUGAGGUAAUGAUCAAUGUGGACUGGCGGGGGCAUUCGUAUUGCGACGUUAGAGGUGAAAUUCUUGGAUCGUCGCAAGACGCACUAGAGCGAAAGCAUUUGCCAAGUAUGUCUUAAUUGAUCAAGAACGAAAGUUAGAGGUUCGAAGGCGAUCAGAUACCGCCCUAGUUCUAACCAUAAACGAUGCCAGCCAGCGAU
rnacentral:rRNA from 1 species